UAGCCGGGCUGUAGAGAUGCGCGGUUCGGCCGGAUACGAAAGCAUCGCAACAAUGAGGUGAGUUAUGGCACUUUCUGCCAAUGAGAAAGCACAGAUCGUUAAUGAUUAUCAGCAGGGUGAA
rfam:Marinobacter sp. JG233 contig1, whole genome shotgun sequence.